UUAUCAGUUGAUAAAUUUGAUAAAAAUGAAUCAAUACACGUCAUAUUACCAGCUAUUUAUUUUCUGUAGGUACGAUAAAAUAUUGAGUCAUUACCACUUUACCAUGGCCACUUUGUACAAUUUCCCCCAAUACCUAUUUGUAAUGCAAAGUUUCAAUUAGUAGACCACAUACCAAGCUGGUAGCUUGAACUAGUCAUAUUUCGAAGCACUUGUAGCGUGUUAUUGCGCUUCUUCGGAUAGUAUACAAUAGUUUAACAGGGACUUUAAAGUUUCCCAUUUAGUACCUAUAUUAUAUAUCAAAUUUCCGUUCGCUACUAGACUUCUAUUCAUUAUCGUGUGUGAUAAAUACUUUGGUAACACGAUUAAAAUGUGGUUUAAUCACGUGGUUUUGACCACCGUUGCCAUCGUUUUCAUCGUUACUUCGGCAAACGCGAAAAAUGCAACGCAGAAUCCGGUUUCGAAUAAUCAGUCAAGUACGGCCAAACCCAGAGAGAGUAUGGCCAACAACGCCAACUCGACGACGUCUAUCGAGGAUAUGUCCUCUGUUCGCCAUCGUGGAAAAGCAAAAUAUCAUGCAAGGCUCUGGGAUUCACUAUAACGUCUACCGGAGAAUGUAAACCAAAAUUUGUAGAAGAAUAAGAUGGACGCAGUCUCAUUUCCAACAAGUUCUGGGCUUAGAAUAAUAAACAGGGUGAUUCGCCAAGUAUGUGCACCACCACUUUUACUCCAGUAAUGUAGUUUUUCCAGAUCUGAUUUUUAUAAUUUGUUAUAUACUCAAAGUCCAUAUUUUCAAAUUCUUAUGGUUUUUCGUAUUACUUAAGAAGUUUCAUGUAGAGAUACAAACUAGAACCUCUCUCUUCUUACGCAAAUAAUUUAACGCAUAGUUUUUCUAAAUAUUUUGAUGUAUUAAUUUAAAUUUUAAUGAUAGUAGUUAUCGAUGUAUUUAACUUUGUGUACUAAGGAUAAUAAUAUUAUGUCCAUACGAUAAUGAGUUGGAAGCAGGGCUUGACACCGUUAUCAAUUUAAUCGGUUACCACUAACAUUUUUUGGAUACCGGUUACCGGCUUUAUACCGGUCCUGUUGUUAGCGGUAACCAAUUACCGGUACUAGAUUCAAAAUUACAGGUUACCGUUAAGUGAUAACCGCUUCCAAGAAUUAAUGUUGGUUAUCGGUAACUGAUUGAAUACUGGUUUUCUAAAAAAAAUAUUGUACUAAACCUUUGUACCCGUAUACUUAAUACCGGUGUUGUUAUAGGAAUCAAGCUAUUUUUAGAUUUCCCAGUACAAUAUACGAUGAGGGAGACCGGGACUAUCGACUAUCGAGUACCGUCAUUACUCAUUACUAGGGUUCGGGACUUGUUGCAUUUGCAUAUUGCUUAAUAAUGACUGCAGAAUAGUCUAAGUAAGAUUCAAAUUUGUUUUAAGUCAUAACGGAUUGAAAUACAAAAAUUUUAAUUGCAUAUUUUCGCAUAUUUUGCCAUUUUCUGAGCAAAAUGCAUAUUUGCCAAUUUUGGCAGUUUAAUUGUUAUUUAUUGCAUAUUUACUCCGUUUUUGUUUUAUGUUAAGUACAUUUAUUUUAAAGAUUAACUAUAAUUUUUUUUUACUUUCAUGUGUUGUUCAAUAUAUAGACUAAUCAGUUUUCAGUAAUCAGUUUCUCCGUAUAGCUCGGUUUAUUAAUAAAGAUGAGAUAAUAACAUUAUUAGCUGGAUUUGGCAACUAGGGAAAUACCUAAUUAUUUCUGCGUAUACUAUCGUUUAUCGUAAAUCGUCUAAGGUAAUACUAUGUAAAAGGAAAAUAAGAAUUCAGUUUGGUUUCGUGCGUCGUGGCUUUUAAAAUCGUUAUUCUUGAGCUUUCGUAAUUUUAAAGAUGCCGAAAAUAACGAACAAUACGCGUAUUAGACAAUAUAUCACCGAGUUUGGAGAAAAAGUUUUUUCAAGUGAUGGAACCAUUUUAUUUUGUAAAUUUUGUGAAACGAAAAUAAAUACACAUCGUAUAAUAAUAUCAUAUAAUUUUGAUAUAGUGUUUUUGUUGUCCAAAAAUAACUAAUUACAAAUAAUUGUCUAAAUUUAAAUGAAUAAAUCAAAUUUUUUAAUUUUAUUUAAAAUAAUAUUUAGUUGCAUAUUUUUGCGCAUAUUUCGGUUAUUUUAAGUGCAUAUGUGCAUGCAUAUUUCCUACAACUUGUGUGCAAUAAGUCCCGAACCCUACUCAUUACCAACCAACGAUAAUUUAUGUUAGAUAGGUAGGUAGGAAAUAGAAAUAUAGAAUACCAAUUAUUUGAAUUAUUAUUACAAGAAUUGAGACUAGAGAAAAAAACAAAGAUAUACCUAAUAGUAUGAUUUAAGAAUAGUUUUAAGAAGUUAUUAUUUAUUAUACCAUUAGUACCUAGCUACGAGUGUAUAAUCAUUUAUGUGGCUAAAAUAAAUUAAACAUAAUAUUAUUAUAGUUCAUACGUAAUGGUAGUCAGUAUUUAUAAAUACCAGUAAUCGGUUCUUAACCGGUUUAGGGCCGUUCUUACAAUGUCCGGUUAAAGUUAAUCGACACUUAACCGGCCGAAUUCUGCCGGUAAUAAAAUCUGUCAUCAGUCGGUUAGCGUUAACCGACACUUUACCGGACAUUGUAAGAACGGCCCUAAAACAUAUUACGUUAUUAUAAUGUUUUAUGUUAUAUGAAAAAUUGUCACGGUAACCGGUAACCGAUAACCGGGAGUACAAAUAGGUUUAUAAUAACGGUAACCGAUUUCAAGCCCUGGUUAGAAGAUAAUAUAGGACUAUGGAAAUUCAACAAUUUAGUGAUUAUAUUAUUAUUUUAGCUGAUUUAUAGGUUUUUAGUGAUAAAUACCUAUAAAUCAGCUAUCAAGAUAAAUAAUUUAUAAAAAAUGUUUCGAGUACAAAAACAUUGGAUAUAAUACCUAUUAUAUACAUUUCAUAUUUUUGUAAACUGAUUUUUAAGACUAUAAUUUUUAGUAUAUUAUACACAUUUGAAUAAUUAUAUUUUAUAAGUUCAACUUGUUUAAAUUAUAAAUUAUAGGAAUAAAGUAACAAGGGGAGUUCUCAAUUAAAACAGAAGUUUGUGUCACCACAUGGCACUAUCCUUUUAGUAAUACAAACAAAUUAAAUAAUUGGGAAAACUGAGCUUUGAGUAUAUUUAAUUUUUGUAUAUUAUACAUUGUAUUGUAUACCAUUUUGAUUAUAUUGUAAAAUGAUAACUCAUUAUAUGUAUUUGAUAUGUUAUAUGUCAUAUUUUUCACUGCCGUAUAUUUUUACAUUGACAAUCAAAUAAACGUGUUAUAUGUGUAAUUAAGGCAAUUUUAUUUGAAAUAAUAAAACUUAUAUUUUUAUUGAA